GGAAGAAAGACUACCUUUCUCC
rnacentral:miRNA from 1 species